CAAAGAUGGUUCUCACCUUUUUGAUUGCUACGCAACCUGGGUCAAGUGGCUUAUGUUUGGAGACCACGUCCCCCCUUCAAUUCAGUUGGAAGAAUAAAACUUGUCCAGUGAGGCCCUCAUAAGGUCUGUGCGAGCCUCCAAGGUGAACAGGCAAGGUUGUAGUACUUUCGCUCAGCAAGCCUGGACCAUGCAGAAAAGUGAAAAUAGUCAUGGAGAGUUGUCUCCCAUUAUCUUCUUCCAAGAAGCUACCUUCAGCAGCCAUAUACUUACUCUAAAAAUGUUAUCGAUGCUCGGAAUCUUUUGUGUUCCUGGUUGGGGCUGACCUUCGGACCGGCAGUUACAUCGUUCUUGCUUUGGUAAAGGUGCUGUGGAAGAAGCAAAGGAAACAGCAUCACUGGGUCUGCAGCCCUGGCUCCCUUCUUCGAUUACCAACUUCAGAAACAAGCUCACACAAUUGGAAGAGGAGUCUGGAGAUUCAUCUCCUCUGGACUGUAAAGAUGACAAAUCUCUCUCAACUCUUUGGUUAGAAAAUACAAUUAAGUGGACUGGAGUGGGCUCUCACCAAAGAAAAUUGGCUGGAUUGAGAUGUGAGCAUCCUAGAAGCUGAACCAAUAAAACUCAAUCAUUCCCAUCCCCUGGGGAAUUGGUGCUAGGGGAAAAGUUUGCUUUGAUAUCUCUGUGCAGUGGACAAAAAUGUGUGCAAGUCUCACCCAAUCAAUAGAAAUCUCUAAAAUGAAAGAUUGAAGCCGUCAGGAAAGGCAAGAUCUCUGAGAUGAGAAAUGUUUAUAUUUUUUGCGAGAUUUGUCUCCACUAAAUGCCAACCCCUCCCCGUCAGACCCCAUCUAAGUGUUUGCAUAGCUUUGGAGCACUGUGUGGUCUUUUCGCUCAAACUAAGAGGGCUUGAGGAACCUUCAGUCUGUAUGAGACACUUAAGAGAAAACAACAUGUAGCCACAUGACUUACAGGAUCAUAUGACAGGGAGGAGCCUGCAGAGCGAUGGCAUCCAUUCCUUGCUUUUUGUCUUAACCUGGAAGAUUUGAUCCUAUCCUGUGUCUAAAUGCUUCCAGAAAACAAGACUGCAUACUAUCCGAAGCACUCAGUGCCAGGAUGAAGAACUUUCGCCAUGAAGAAAGUUGUCCUUAUUUUUAGUCUUGCUGUUUAAUUCCUUAAUGCCAAUUAUAGCUGCCUUUUCCUCUGAUGUCAUGCUGAGACCAAAGCUGGCUAUGUACUGUACCGAAGGUGACAUUUUUUGAGGGAAUGAAUUAAU